rnacentral:sRNA from 1 species
CCCCUUUCGGAUGUGAGUGUUAACGAGUUCAUCCGCUCCGAUGGGAUCUUCGACGAAUUGGAAAUUGAACCCUGUUCCCGAGCGGUUGAAAUCCACAGCGAAUCUGACAUAGAUUUGGAGUUCUCUCCAAGGACAGGUUGCGUGUCUGGGUGUACCGGUGCUAUUUGAGCCGGUGCAGGUUGGGAAAUUUGCGAUAUUGCCCAUUUCCGUGGAGAGGAAUGGGGGAAGGUGCGGUAGCCCGGGUCGUUGGCGAUGUCAUCCGGCACAACGUAAAGAGGAGGAGGGGGUAGGGUCGUCUCCCCAAAGUGGAUGUCCCCGAGAAUUUGAUGAUUUUGUGGCGGAACGGCUACUUCCCGAUCCCUAGUGGCUCCCUGUAUCUCAGAAAAAAUAUUGGAGAAGGCUUCGCAUAUUGUUCAGAUAGUGGGCAUUUUAGCCCACCGCAUACUCAGUACGCAGUGAAUCGCUAUUCUUAUCAUCCUUGGCAAUACACUUGAGCACUUCACAAAACGGUGGUGAAACUCGUUCCGCAUCGAUAGCGGAAUUCGAUCCUUCAUCGAAAUUGGCAUUUGGAGCAGUUGCUCCCCCUUGCUUAUUCCUACCUCUCAUGAUCUUGAUAUCUGCAUUUAAAGAUAUCGCAACCGCCCUGCGACGAAAUAAAGGGAAUUCCAGGAAUAUGGGCUAUAUUGGUGUCGGAAAUUGGGCUAUUUGCGUUGUAGUACGGGUGAAGAAAGUUGACUGAAAUGAGGGGGGGGCUUUGCUGUCCUUGUCCUUGUCCUUGUCCUCGUGCUCUCUUGGUCUCUGUUAUCCACGGGCUCCCAUACUUCUCCCAUUCUUCAAGAUGAUAUGACUAAACGAGUGCCAAAGAUUUCCGGCGAAAGUCUCCUUUGCGACCAAACGCGUUCGGAUUGAUUAGAGGCGUUAUGUCCUUUAAAAUGAGCGAUCAGAUAUCGACGACGGCCAAGUUUGCGGAGACAGCCACUAGCCCAACUCUUUAAGGAUGCUGCGUCCAUGGGUAUUAUGCUGCUAGAUGAAGGGAUUCACCGCUUUACUUUGAUAAAAAACGCAUUUCUGACCGUUUACGCCAGCCUAUUUACUCCCUCUGCACAGGACUGGGGGGGUUUCAGUACAAUCCCAACACCGGGCAUGAUUUUGCUCUUGAGGACAGCGUCAAUGUAGUCAUCACCCAUGGACCACCCAGAGGUGUUAUGGACUACACUGUCAGCCAUCAGAGAGUGGAAUGUCCCCAUCUCUUCACAGCCAUUGCAAGAAGCCGACCACAGAUGCACUGCUUUGGCCACAUUCAUGAAGGUUGGGGCACGAAAACUGUUAUAUGGAGCG